rnacentral:rRNA from 1 species
GAUCCUGGCUCAGAUUGAACGCUGGCGGAAUGCUUUACACAUGCAAGUCGAACGGUAGAGGGGGCAACCCCUUGAGAGUGGCGAACGGGUGAGUAAUAUAUCGGAACGUGCCCAGUCGUGGGGGAUAACGUAGCGAAAGUUACGCUAAUACCGCAUACGAUCUAAGGAUGAAANCGGGGGAUCGCAAGACCUCGCGCGAUUGGAGCGGCCGAUAUCAGAUUAGGUAGUUGGUGAGGUAAAGGCUCACCAAGCCAACGAUCUGUAGCUGGUCUGAGAGGACGACCAGCCACACUGGAACUGAGACACGGUCCAGACUCCUACGGGAGGCAGCAGUGGGGAAUUUUGGACAAUGGACGCAAGUCUGAUCCAGCCAUUCCGCGUGCAGGAUGAAGGCCCUCGGGUUGUAAACUGCUUUGUACGGAACGAAAAGGUUUCUAUUAAUACUAGGAGCUCAUGACGGUACCGUAAGAAUAAGCACCGGCUAACUACGUG